rnacentral:tRNA from 1 species
UCAAAAGGUAGUUUAAUUAAAAAUUUUUACUUUGGGAGUAAAAGAUAUUAUCCUUUUGUUUUUAAG